GGUGAGUAAUGUCUGGGAAACUGCCUGAUGGAGGGGGAUAACUACUGGAAACGGUAGCUAAUACCGCAUAACGUCGCAAGACCAAAGUGGGGGACCUUCGGGCCUCAUGCCAUCAGAUGUGCCCAGAUGGGAUUAGCUAGUAGGUGGGGUAAUGGCUCACCUAGGCGACGAUCCCUAGCUGGUCUGAGAGGAUGACCAGCCACACUGGAACUGAGACACGGUCCAGACUCCUACGGGAGGCAGCAGUGGGGAAUAUUGCACAAUGGGCGCAAGCCUGAUGCAGCCAUGCCGCGUGUAUGAAGAAGGCCUUCGGGUUGUAAAGU
rnacentral:rRNA from 1 species